ACCAUGGAUCUUUUAAGAUCCAUGCUUAAUAACUUUAGAUGUUUC
rfam:Helianthus annuus linkage group 12, whole genome shotgun sequence.